rnacentral:rRNA from 1 species
UACAGAGGUGGCAAGCGUUGUUCGGAAUUACUGGGCGUAAAGGGCGCGUAGGCGGUCCGAUAAGUCCCGUGUGAAAUCCCUCGGCUCAACUGAGGAAUGGCACGGGGAAACUGCCGGGCUUGAGUUCGGGAGAGGGAAGCGGAAUUCCGGGUGUAGCGGUGAAAUGCGUAGAUAUCCGGAGGAACACCGGUGGCGAAGGCGGCUUCCUGGACCGACACUGACGCUGAGGCGCGAAAGCUAGGGGGAGCAAACGGG